rnacentral:rRNA from 1 species
AGCGAACGCUGGCGGCAGGCCUAACACAUGCAAGUCGAACGAACCCUUCGGGGUUAGUGGCGGACGGGUGAGUAACACGUGGGAACGUGCCUUUAGGUUCGGAAUAACUCAGGGAAACUUGUGCUAAUACCGAAUGUGCCCUUCGGGGGGAAGGUUUAUCGCCUUUAGAGCGGCCCGCGUCUGAUUAGCUAGUUGGUGAGGUAAUGGCUCACCAAGGCUACGAUCAGUAGCUGGUCUGAGAGGAUGACCAGCCACAUUGGGACUGAGACACGGCCCAAACUCCUACGGGAGGCAGCAGUGGGGAAUCUUGCGCAAUGGGCGAAAGCCUGACGCAGCCAUGCCGCGUGGAUGAUGAAGGUCUUAGGAUUGUAAAAUCCUUUCACCGGUGAAGAUAAUGACUGUAGCCGGAGAAGAAGCCCCGGCUAACUUCGGGCCAGCCGCCGCCGUAAGAC